CCCUUGUCCUUAGUUACCAGCACGUUAUGGUGGGCACUCUAAGGAGACUGCCGGUGACAAACCGGAGGAAGGUGGGGAGUGACGUCAAGUCAUCAUGGCCCUUACGGCCUGGGCUACACACGUGCUACAAUGGUCGGUACAAAGGGUUGCCAAGCCGCGAGGUGGAGCUAAUCCCAUAAAACCGAUCGUAGUCCGGAUCGCAGUCUGCAACUCGACUGCGUGAAGUCGGAAUCGCUAGUAAUCGUGAAUCAGAAUGUCACGGUGAAUACGUUCCCGGGCCUU
rnacentral:rRNA from 1 species